GGGAGGCGUUAUUCUUUCCAUUCCGGGAAUCUGAAGAAGGCCUUUUGGUUGUAAAAGCACAUUAAGCUAGGAGGAGAUAUACUUUGUUUAAUACCCAGAAAAUAGUGGACGUUACUCGCAGAAUAAGCCCCGGCUAAUUUCGUGCCAGCAGCCGCGGUAAUACUAAGGGGGCAAGCGUUAUUCGGAUUUACUGGGCGUAAAGCGUGCGUAGGCGGCUUUUUAAGUCGGAUGUGAAAUCCCCGAGCUUAACUUGGGAAUUGCAUUCGAUACUGGGAAGCUAGGUGCUGGGAGAGGAAGGUGGAAUUCCAGGUGUAGCGGUGAAAUGCGUAGAGAUUGGGAGGAACACCGAUGGCGAAGGCAGCCUUCUGGCCGUUAUACUGACGUUGAGGCCGAAAAGGUGGGGAGGCAAACAGGAUUAAGUUACCCUGGUAGUCCACGCCGUAAACGAUGUUUAUUAGCUGUUGGGCCUAUAAGCCUUCAGUGCCGCAGCUAACGCGAUAAGUAU
rnacentral:rRNA from 1 species